GACUAGUAAGUGCUUAAGCAAUUAUUACUUGGCUAGAUAAAAAUCCAACAUUUUAGUGGCCCCAAUCAGGAAGAAAAGGAUCAGCAGGAAACCUUCAAGCUUAGGAACUUAUUUGGGUUCUUAUGAUUGGUCCAGUAACUGGUUACACGCUGGAUCCUGAUUUUCCCUUUGUGAAGAUUGCUGCACCUUAUGCACAUGUUAUUGUGUUUUAAUUGAAAAACGAGAUGCUUGACUCUACCUUUCUCUGAACUAACCCAUGAAUUACUGGCCAGUUGCAUAUGUUCCCUUUAACCUUAUGCAUUUUGCCUUAAUCACAUGGCAACUUCACCAUCGCCAUUAUAUGUUUUGCUUCUAUAUUUUCUAUUGCUGGAUAUCGAGAAGUAUACAUGUCGACGCUACGAAUACUUCCAUAUAGGCGGCGGCGGCCUUCGCUGAGUGCUCUGCCGCUCGGGUUUCUGGAGCGAGAGGAGUUUGAGAGACAGCUAGCUGCAAAAUAAGCUUCUCUUCCUCAGGAACCAGCUUCAGAUGAUGAUAAUGCUGUAACUCUUCUCGUUCCGAUGCCUGAUGGUAGCCGCCGUGGCCGUCGCUUUCUCAAGUUAGACAGUCUCCAGUCUUUUUUUGACUUCAUUGAUGUGGGUGGUUCCGUUAAACCUGGUACCUACCAACUGGAUGGAGAUGGUCGCUGGUCC